UCGCGUUGUGUUGGCUGCGUUGAUUGCGACGCUUCGCGAACGAGCACGCUUCUGGAGGAGCUGGGCUCAGCUGGGCUCCACUGGGCUCCCGAAAGCACCGAAAGCUUCCAAAACUACGAGAGCUACGAUAGCUGCGAGAACUACGAAAGAUCCUCCGGCAGUCGCGAGUGGUCAACUCAUCGAGCGGGUGACCCGUGUCGCAUUUAUUAUCGCUCAAACGAUAUCGGAUUAGUGGAUUGGCUCGUACGUUCAUCAUACGUUCCCGUAUUUCUAAAUUCGUCCAUCUUCAUAUUCAUGCCAAUUAUAACUCGCGUAUAUCUCCAUAUUGAAAUUAUGUCUAGUGGCAGUCAGUUCCGCGUUGUUCGUACUCGGUCAUAUCGUUUUGAUAUCCUGUGACGUUCCUUCUUUUCAAAAUUAUAUUUGCACAACGCUAUUCGUCGAUAGUCGCGGGUCGACAAUCUAGUGACAAUCGUGAGUGCCUUUUCGCCGACUCGGUAAAUAACUUUUAUUUUAUAAUAAAAAAUAUGUAAUAAUAGGAAGUUCACAAUUAGAGAAGAGGAAUCUAAAUACGUUCGCACAGCGAAUGAACUAAUUUAAUUAAAGGGACUAAAAGGCCACAUUCAAGAGUAAAACAGAGUGAUGGGAGAAUCAGUGAGAAAGGGGGAGAGAUGGUGAUCAGUGCUGAGGAAGAAAGUAGAAGGAAGAAAAUGUUUGUGACGGAUUUAUCUGAGGUAGCUGCUUUAUAGUAGUGGGAAUGUUUGUCGUCAUUGUCGGCGUCGUAAAUGCCGAAGGCAACGAAGGCUGUCAGCUAAGGAAGCCGAUCAGACGUCAGGAGCGCGAGGCCAUCUCGUCAUGAGAAUGUAGCAGUAAAACGGAAUCAUCAAGGAGCACACGAGUAUUUUGCAGAAACAGAACGAGAACAAAUAGGAAAAUCGGAAGGAAGCGUGUCGAGUCAGUGGCAAACGGAAUUAUCAUUAAGAUUAAAGUGUGAAGGUGAAGCUGAAGGUGAAGGUGACGGUGGAGGGAAGAGAAGAGGAGAAGUCGGCGGUAGUGGGAGUGAAGAAGGAAGAGAACGAAAACGAGGAGAGCGAGGGGAGAGCGGCGGAGGGGGAGGGGUAGGGGAUGGAUCCGGAAGUCGUGGAGAGGUCGGAAGAGAAGGAAAAAGUGUAGAAUGAAUCGGGCAGGUGAUAGGAAACUGAAUGAGGAACAAAAGUGGCUACCGUGCUACUCUCGAGAUUCCUCUCCGUGAGAAAGUAAGGGAAUAUACGGGCAAAGAGUGAAGUAGAGGUGAAAGGAAAGCAAGUAGAGGGGCAGGAGAACGCGGGGAGGAAGAGGAACCUGGGGAAUUUUAUUGAUAGUCGGCAAGGCGGCAGAGUGCCGAGCACUGAUAAUGCUGGAAGCCCAGAUGCUGUGGUCGCGUGUUUCUAAGCUUCCGAAUUUUCUUACGAAACCAGGAAGUUCGACGCUGUGAGUGCGAAUACAGAAGAUCGCGAAGAAAGCGUAGGAAAUGCCGCGCUAUGUAUUUCAAAGAGUGGCAUCCACCGCUCCUCGAUAAGGUCGACGAUCUUAUUACGUUAACCGCCUUCUUGUCGUCGUCGCCGUCGUCGUCGUCGUCGUCGUCGUCGCCGUCGUCGUCGCCGUCGUCGUCGCCGUCGUCGUCGUCGUCGUCGUCGUCGUCGUCGUCGUCGUCGUCGUCGUCGUCGUCGUCGACGUCGUCGUCGUCGUCGUCGUCGUUUUGGAAAUCGAGUAGACGGUACAGGGAGAGAGGUGGUAUAGUUUUUUGCUUGAGAAAUCGGCGAGUCCAUUCCUACUUGGGUCUGCGGCUUCUCCAAACGUAAGAAUAAGGGAAGCGCAACGAUAGGAGGAAGAGGGAAGGAAGAAGCUUAGAGGAUCGCCGAACGAGAAGACGAAUUGAAUAGCAGUGAGGAUUCGGAUAAAAGAUUGCACCGUCAAACAUGGCCUCGGUGGCGGCUUGGCUGCCGUUCGCGCGAGCAGCCGCGAUCGGCUGGGUGCCGAUCGCGACGCAUCCGCUUCCGCCGCCGCCGAUUCCGAAGGAUCGUCGCAAAGCCGACGACGAGAAGCUCCUGAUAAACGUGAGCGGUCGCCGAUUCGAGACCUGGCGUAAUACCCUGGAGAAGUACCCGGACACGUUACUCGGCUCCAACGAGCGCGAGUUCUUCUACGACGAGGAGUGCAAGGAAUACUUCUUCGACAGGGAUCCUGACAUCUUCAGACACAUACUGAACUACUAUAGGACGGGUAAGCUUCACUAUCCGAAGCACGAGUGCCUCACGAGCUACGACGAGGAGCUCGCAUUCUUUGGCAUCCUACCCGAUGUCAUCGGGGACUGUUGUUACGAGGACUACCGGGAUAGAAAGCGUGAGAAUGCGGAGCGUCUGAUGGACGACAAGCUCAGUGAAAAUGGCGAUCAGAAUCUUCAGCAGCUGACAAACAUGCGGCAGAAGAUGUGGCGGGCAUUCGAGAAUCCACACACGUCCACGGCCGCCCUGGUAUUCUAUUACGUCACGGGGUUCUUCAUUGCCGUCAGCGUGAUGGCGAACGUAGUCGAGACGGUGCCGUGCGGGCAUCGUCCAGGUCGCGCCGGGACGCUUCCGUGUGGCGAGCGAUACAAGAUCGUCUUCUUCUGCCUGGACACGGCCUGCGUUAUGAUCUUCACCGCCGAAUAUUUGUUGAGGCUCUUCGCAGCGCCAAAUCGAUGUAAAUUCGUACGGUCGGUGAUGUCGAUUAUCGACGUCGUCGCCAUAUUGCCCUAUUACAUCGGCCUCGGCAUAACUGAUAACGACGACGUAUCCGGCGCCUUCGUCACCCUCCGGGUCUUCCGCGUCUUUCGUAUCUUCAAGUUCUCGAGGCAUUCUCAGGGUCUGCGUAUCCUCGGCUACACUCUAAAGUCCUGCGCCUCCGAACUCGGCUUCCUUGUCUUCUCACUCGCAAUGGCGAUCAUCAUCUUCGCCACGGUGAUGUUCUACGCCGAGAAGAACGUCGAGGGCACCAACUUCACAUCCAUCCCGGCUGCCUUCUGGUACACGAUCGUCACCAUGACGACCCUCGGGUACGGCGACAUGGUACCGGAAACGAUUGCUGGUAAGAUCGUCGGAGGCGUUUGCUCCCUUAGCGGAGUCCUGGUGAUCGCCCUACCGGUCCCGGUAAUCGUGAGCAACUUCAGCCGAAUUUAUCACCAGAAUCAGCGCGCCGACAAGAGGAAAGCCCAGAGGAAAGCAAGGCUGGCUCGCAUCCGAAUCGCAAAGGCGUCUAGCGGGGCGGCUUUUGUCAGCAAGAAGAAAGCGGCGGAAGCGCGAUUGGCCGCUCAGGAAAGCGGAUUGCAGCUCGAUGAGAACUACAAGGAGGAGGACAUCUUUGAGCUGCAGCAUCACCAUCUGUUGCGCUGCCUUGAGAAGACCACGGACCGUGAAUUCGUGGAAAUGGAAGUGCCGUAUAACGGUGCGCCAAAGAGACCAGGUUCUCCAUCACCUUUGACCUCGCCAGCGCACAGCACCGCCUCACGAGGUGGCCUUUUGCACUCGUGCUGCGGCCGAUGUUAUCCUCAGCGUUACCAGAGCUUGUCAUAUCAGCUCACCUCGAAGGAGAACAAGGAUAGAGUGGUGCUCGUAUACGGAGACCGUAUACAAGUGCGGAAAAAGGACUUAAAGAAGCGCGGUUCCCACACCUGCGACAUGCAGGCCCUACAGCCACUUCCGGUUCCUACAACCACCACCACCGCCACUACGCCUGCCAUGGCUUCCGGUGGCCAGCCACCGCUUCCAGUUUCGGAGAGUGCUUGAAUUGACCAAUCACCAAACACCAAUCACCAAUCACCAAUCACCAAUCACCAAUCCACUAUGACAUCCACCGUCCUCCUCUACUCGUUCGAAUGAACAACGGCCGCGAAGUCUUGCUUACGGUGAGCUUCAAGAAACCAUCUUAAAAAAGUAAACACGAGUCAGAGCCAUCGAGCCAUCGAGCCAUCGAGCCAUCGAGCGCGCGCCAAGUAUAUGCCAAGUAUAUGCCAAGUAUAUCCGUGAGCUAGAAAUGUCUCUAACUCAUCGGGAUCAUUGAGGAUACGACUAUCCUCCUAUAUGAGCAUUAACGGCAACCAUACUCCGCUCCACGAAGACGACGACGUCUACGUUCCCUUGGCUUGGGAGAUCGAACGAUCGAACGAUCGUACUUCUUUUGAUAAGGCGACUGACUGAAGCACGCACAGAGUAUAGAACCAGACCGGUUGAUCGGAGAGAUAACCAGAGACUUCGUGGAAGAGGAAAAGUCCCUGCGACGUCGCUGCUAUCGGCUAUUCCAAGACAUUCUUCCAAGCAGCUUCAAGUGGACCCGAAGAAGAUGACGAAUUGCUAGCCCUGCUGCGAGUAGCCAUACUCAAAGAUGGCGAUUGCUUCCUCGUCAGCUCCAGGAGGAAGAGUCAUCGGUGCCAUAAGUGAGCCUGCGUGAUAAAGAGGAUACGAUGCUCGUCACGUCACGGGACCCCGUCAGGAUGAGAAUGGAGACUGAGGAGUGUUGCGCGCGUGUGCGUACCUCUUUCAGGACGAGGCGAGGGAGAGAGAGAGAGAGAGAGAGAGAGAGAGAGAGAGAGAGAGAUGGACGAUUCAAUGACCUUAAAUAAUCUUUAUAUGGUAUACUUAAGUAAGAUGCCCUUGUUCUUUCAUAACUUGCCGAUGGCCGGGGUGAGGGGUCACCGGGCAAGUACGUAGUUGACGUAGUACGUACGCUAACUUUGAAUCGAGAAUUUAACGAGAUAGAAUGUUCUACGCGUCCACAUGUAAGAGACAGAACAAUUAUUGUUAUUACUAUUAUUACUAUCAUUAUCAUCACCUAUUCUCUAACGUUCGUUUAUUAUGCCGAGUCACUCGAGCCUCCUAUCAUACAAUUCUAAAGCGUUCCGAGAAACUCUUAAUCAGAGCCGAUGACUGGACGAUCAUCGUGCGACGAGAGUAGCAACUUUCGGAAUUGCUCGAAAAAAUAUAGAAUUUAGGUAGGCAUAGGCGUUAAGCCAUUUCUAAUCUAGAAUUGGUCGCUAUAGGUAGGUGGGUAGACUGCCAAAUUGCUGGAUUAUAUUGCUGUCGUGUUUAAUUUGCAUUUGCCCGUAGUUUCAUUUGCGUUAUUGCUGAUUCCUGUGUGUUGUAAGUUGUCCCGGAAAAGAAGGCCUCGCGGCAAAGAUCACAGGAAUCAGCAACGAUCGCUCGAGAGACAAUGCACCGAGUGCAACCUGUUGCUCGUCUCUCUGUUCGUCUGUUCGUCUGUUCGUCUGUUCGUUUGUUCGUUUGUUCGUUUUCUCUGGCAGAUAAAGAGCUCCUGAAAUCCAGGAUUUCAUUGAGGAUUCUUCAAAGCUCCUGCCUUGCUCUCAGCAAUAGUCUUUUUCUAAUGAUCUCUUGCUGAUUUCCUGUCUCAGCUGUUCUUGGUGGUCUACUUGAUUUAAUUUUGACUUGACUUAUCGCUGACAGCUGUCAUCUUCAGACUUUAAAGACCUUAUAUUUGUUAGCAUUGUUACGCGCCACUAAUCUAGCAAUGUUGCUGAUUCUGUAUCUGUCUAUAUGCCUAUCUACUUACCCAACCUACCUAUCACAAUAAUAGGCUAGCUCUGUCUCGGUGUCGUGUCAUCGUAGUCCGUUAGCAACUUACGUUAAUUCGUCCUAGUCCGAGCGGAACAUAUGAAAACGUCGAGGUCUUUCAGAUUUACUGUACUGCCAAUAAUUACCCACGCGAGAUGCGAUUGCAUGCGUAUAAAAAUACAUAAAUGCGUGUAUCGUGUGCAGAGAGUGAAGAACUCGGCGCCACGGGUCGCUCUGCUCGGCCAUCACUUUGUUGUUCUUGCCACGAGUUCAGUCUCGCAUCUUUAAUCUCGAGCAAUUGCACUCGGUAGUUUCAUAAAGAGAAAAUAGUCAAGCGACAGAGAAUUCAUUCGAGGAGAGACAGAAAGAGUGGGGGAGAGAGAGAGAGAGAGAGAGAGGAUAGGUAAAAAAAUAAUAAAAUAAAAGACAUUAAAAUUUGACAGGAUGUGUCGCAGCAUCGAAAAUCACCUUUAAAUAGUAAAUUCCGUUUCUCCUUUUCUAUGCGAAGAACUAAGAAACCUGAUCGAUUCAUUCGAUAGUUUUUUUUAUUCUUAAAUUCUAUUAUGAGAUAUCCAUCAUGAUAGUUUUUUUUUUUUUUUUCAAUAUACCGGUUCUCAGUAUUGCUAUUCAUUCUUCGAAUGAUGCUUUGAUUAUACCGGAUACACCUUGUCGAUAUUUAUCAUCCUCCUUCUCGGUCUCUACAACUGUAUAUCUUUUUUGUAAGCAGGAUUUAAGCGUCCAUACGUUGAACAUAAGAUGGGAUUUUUGGGUCCAGCAUCGGAGGAAUCGGAUGAUCUUAUUUCUGGACGGUUUGUAUCGUUGUGCUUGAUGGAUUCGCAGGCACGAGCGCUCGCACAGGUACAGCAUUUUAAUGCAAUCGUGUGCGUGCAGAUACGCACCGUCAGAUUCGAUUCAAUGAACUCGAGGUUGGUUGCGUGAUGCAUUUUCUGUAAAAAGAAAUAGUGAAAAACAGGAUCGAUGCUCAGGCUGUUUUCUUUUGAGGAUGCUCGCCGGGCCUUUUCUGAUGCAGACUGGAGAAAGCAUUAAUGGUCCUUCCUCAUUGCGUCCACAGUACUAUGAAAGAGUCUGCGAAAACUUGUGACACUCUCUAUUAUCCUCAUGCCAAAUAAUUUCAAGUCUUCAAGGAGUCUCUCGUUUCUUUUCACUCUGGCUGCUCGAGUUUACCUAUUUUCAGAUAAAAUUCUUCGUAACGGAUAUUCGUGAGAGUAACUAGGUAACGUACGACGCGCACAGGAAUCGUGGGCCUUGAUAAAUGGAAUAGGGAAUAUUGUCAAAUCGAUAAAUGUCUUGUUGCUCGAGGUGCAUCUACAUGUGAAUGCAAUUAAUUAUACGUGAAUACGUGACACAUGCAAUGGAGGAGCAACACGGAAGCCAGGCAGGUGCGAACCUAGAUGGGCGUGUCGGGAUUGAAUAUCCCGCGGGGCAUCCUCACGAGAGAGAAGUCAAAUAACAACUAUAACGACUUUCCUCGCAGUAGAUUUGGAAUUAAGAAUACAGAACGAAAGGAGCAGAAGGAAAGGGAAAAGGCAGGGAGAACGAAGGGGAAAAAGUAAAAACCUAACGAGUGCCGCGUAUGUUUCAGCGACUCCGGGUGAAGGUCCGAGGUUACGUCAAUUGCGUCAGAUUCCAUUUCGGAUUUAGAAGAGGCGCACCUUUAGCCUUAAGUUUUUUCCAGCUCUCAACUGAGUCAAGGGGCUUCUUUAUUCAGGACGAUACUUACAAUGUGGAUUGAACUUCAUCGCCAUCUACCGUUAGGAGGGAGGACAAAGGUUUAAGGGUAGAAUCAUCGCUUUGAAGGGGAACUUGCAAGGGAUCUACCGAAGGACGGUGUCGGUGGAAACACCUUACCGAAUUGAAUGAAACCGUUUCGUCUGCCGUCUAUUGGCAGUAAAUAAACUAUAAUUGCCUGAUCAGCUGCAUUCUUGUUUAAAGAAAAAGUAACGAGAAUUCGAGAAGAAAAUUACGAAAGAGUGAUGUGCAACGUUAUCAAGAUAUAAAUCGUUUGUCUUUCAACCGACACCAGUCUCGCCUACAUUUCGACCACGCGCCGUCCACUGCUUAUUAACUGUCAUACAGAACUUUUGUGAACGCGCCUUAAUGCUCUCGCGCACUCCGUCUCUUUCUCGUUGCCAUUUCCCUCAGCUGAUCUAUGACUACCCCCCCCCCC